rnacentral:rRNA from 1 species
UACGUAGGGCGCAAGCGUUAUCCGGAAUUAUUGGGCGUAAAGAGCUCGUAGGCGGUCUGUCGCGUCUGCUGUGAAAACUCAGGGCUUAACCCUGAGCUUGCAGUGGGUACGGGCAGACUAGAGUGCGGUAGGGGGAGACUGGAAUUCCUGGUGUAGCGGUGAAAUGCGCAGAUAUCAGGAGGAACACCGAUGGCGAAGGCAGGUCUCUGGGCCACUACUGACGUGAGAAAGCGAAAAGCAUGGGGGAG